AUACCAAUACUUUAAAUUUAUAUUUAUAUAGUAUAAAAUAAAGUAAUAAUUAUAAUGAAAAUUAGAAUUAGUGAGUAUAUAAAUUGUAGGUAAAAUUUAAUUUAUAUAAUUAAUGAUAUAAUUCUAAUUAAUAGGUUCUUUGAAAAUAAGGUUUAAGAAAACUAGGAUUAGAGACCCUAUUAUUGUUUAUUUUAAAAAUUUUUUUAUUUAAGUAGUAAGAGUUGUUAAUAAUAGUAUGUUAUUUAAUAUUUAUGCUCGAAACUUAAAAGGCUUGGCGGUGUCAUAUAUCCUUCCAGGGGAGCUUGCUUAUUAAUUUGAUAUUCCUCAAUUCAUACUUACUUUCUUUUGAAUAGAAAUAUUUAUCAGUUUGUGUAUUGCUGUCGUCAGUUUAUUUUGUAAAAAUUUUAGAAAAAACUUUAUAAUGAUUAGAUUGUG
rnacentral:rRNA from 1 species